AUUGAACGCUGGCGGCAGGCCUAACACAUGCAAGUCGAACGAGUGGCGGACGGGUGAGUAAUGUCUGGGAAACUGCCUGAUGGAGGGGGAUAACUACUGGAAACGGUAGCUAAUACCGCAUACCAUCGGAUGUGCCCAGAUGGGAUUAGCUAGUAGGUGGGGUAAAGGCACACCUCGGCGACGAUCCCUAGCUGGUCUGAGAGGAUGACCAGCCACACGAGAACUGGAAGACGGUCCAGACUCCUGCGGGAGGCAGCAAUGGGGAAAAUUGCAACAUGGGAACAAGCCUGCUACAGCCAUGCAGCGUGUAUGAAGAAAGCCUUCGGGUUGUAAAGUACUUUCAGCGGGGAGGCGUUACCCGCAGAAGAAGCACCGGCUAACUCCGUGCCAGCAGCCGCGGUAAUUC
rnacentral:rRNA from 1 species